CUACUGAUGGGAAAUAAAAUCAGAUAUUUCGCUUCCAACAAGCAAAAGAAAAAUCGGUUAUGAUUCCAAGAAGAGAUGAACUCCAUUGCUGGAGAUCCAUACAGGCUCUUGGUUCCGGCAAUACCUUCCCACAUUCCAACCUGACUGCUUGUGUCAUCAAAGCCAGAAAGAGCAAGAGAGAUUCCUGCAAAAUGGGAGCUAUGGCCUUAUAAAAUCACAUGGAAUGAGAAAUAACCAUGGAGGGACAACCAUUUGCUCUGGAGGAGAAACUUUAGCCCUACACUUUCCUGAAAUUAUUUUGAGCACAUGGUCUUGGGUUUUCAGUCUUUGAACUUCUCCUGUGACACAGGGACAAUCUCAACAAUCCAAAAUUGCAGGAGUCAGUGAAAAACUCUGAUAAAAGUGGCCAUCUUUGACUGCUGACAAACACGAGUGUGAUGACGUGUGGCAAAUGUCGACGUGUUUCAUGAAUAUGUGUAUAUCUAUUGAGAGAAUUUGACCAAUGAGAUGUAUGAUAGAUAGAUCACUGAUAAGUCUGUCUUUAUUUUUAACUUGAAAAGAGGAAAGAACUACUGAGAGUUGAGAAGAGAAAUACUAUCAAUUAGCUGCAUUCUUAGUUGGUAAAAAUUACACCAAGUCCUUUUGAGUAUGUGUCCAAUCUGAAAUUGUCUUUUUGCUUUACUUAUGCCCUUCUUUCUUUUAUUUCUUGAGUUAGAAUGUCAGAUCCAAAAUGGCAAGGAUCUUGUAUGUUCUGUUUAUCACUUUACCCAAUUUCCUAAUGUUGUCCAGGUGCUGAGUAAAAAAAUUGCUCAGUGAAUGAAUGCACGAGAUUUAGAUUCUAAUCUAAGUAGCUGGAAGACCUUAGGAUAAUCACUUAACUCCUUGGAGGCUCAAUUUCUUCACUUUUAAAAUAGUGGCAUAGAGGGUGCCUGGCUGGUCAGUGAGUAGAACACUCUUG